GGGCUUAUAGCUCAGCUGGUUAGAGCGCACGCCUGAUAAGCGUGAGGUCGAUGGUUCGAGUCCAUUUAAGCCCAC
rnacentral:tRNA from 2 species